GGAGGAGGAGGAGGAGGAGGAGGAGAAGAGGAGGAGUUUGAUGCAGCGAACGUGUUCAUGCACCAGGCCAUUCACACCAUCGAGUAUUGUCUGGGCUGCAUCUCCAACACGGCCUCGUACCUGCGGCUCUGGGCCCUCAGCCUGGCUCACGCCCAGUUGUCUGAGGUGCUGUGGUUAAUGGUGAUGCGGAUCUCCUUCCAGCAGCUCAGUUAUGUGGGCUCUGUCAUCAUGGUGGUUAUAUUUGCUGCCUUCGCUGUGCUAACCAUAUC